rnacentral:rRNA from 1 species
UAGGGAAUCUUCCGCAAUGGGCGAAAGCCUGACGGAGCAACGCCGCGUGAGUGAUGAAGGUCUUCGGAUCGUAAAACUCUGUUAUUAGGGAAGAACAAAUGUGUAAGUAACUAUGCACGUCUUGACGGUACCUAAUCAGAAAGCCACGGCUAACUACGUGCCAGCAGCCGCGGUAAUACGUAGGUGGCAAGCGUUAUCCGGAAUUAUUGGGCGUAAAGCGCGCGUAGGCGGUUUUUUAAGUCUGAUGUGAAAGCCCACGGCUCAACCGUGGAGGGUCAUUGGAAACUGGAAAGCUGGAGUGCAGAAGAGGAAAGUGGAAUUCCAUGUGUAGCGGUGAAAUGCGCAGAGAUAUGGGGGAACACCAGUGGCGAAGGCGACUUUCUGGUCUGUAACUGACGCUGAUGUGCGAAAGCGUGGGGAUCAAACAGG